CAGCCGGAAGAAGAGCAGCGAGUCCUGCUGGGCUUCACUGACGAACAGCCCAGCGCGGGAUUUCCCGGACGCCAGGCCUAAUUCUAGGAACCGCUUUUUACCUGCGGUCGCCGCACAUCAUACCAAGAAUUUGUCAUUUUUUUCACUAUCUCCUGACACCUUGUCCUCCCCCACCCAGCCUGCCCCACCCCUCUCCCUCAGUACUCAAGAGAUUACUGGCAGCCCACGAUGCUGAAUUGGGAGUGUGGAGAGCAGGUCCAGACCCGUUGGUGCUCAUGUUACCAAUGGUUCCGCUGAAAAGCUCAGGAAUUUUUUCUCUCGCAAGUCAACACCUGCUUGUUGAGGAAAUUUCUCACCGAUGGCAGACUCCCGGGCCGGUUUGGCUUUAUCGCCUUCACUACAAGAUGUCAUGCAGGCGAAGGGAAGAAACUCAAACCCUCUUCAAAGUGAAAACUACAAAGGCAAAUGAUCAUAAACCAUGUGUGGACAAAUCUCACCGUCUAAACAGCUACCAUGUCCCCGGAUAAAUAAUAGAGGAGAGGAUCUGAGGACUGAAAAGUCAACAUUGGCCAUGAAGACACCCAGAGG
ensembl:lncRNA